rnacentral:lncRNA from 1 species
CGAGGAAGUAGGUGAGCUUCUCCAUCCCUGUCUGUCUAGAUGCAGAGAACCCAAAGCCCUGCAGGAUGGCAAAGCUGCAACAUGGAAGUCACCCGGAUCACCACGUAAAGGAAAUCUCUCCAACCAGGAACAAACACCUGCCUUGCAAUAUUAGGUGGCCACCAGACUUUCUCUGCUUGUAUCCUCCCAGGACCACAGAACUCAUCGCAUCCCAAGGCAGCCUAUUCCAUCAUGGAUGAGCUCAAAGUGUUUGAAAGUUCUGCUUUAUCAAGAGUGGCGUGCUGUGUGGAUAAUGAAUAUUGGGGAAGGCAUCUCUCUCCAGCCCCUCUCAAGCUUUCUGUAGUCACUGGUCCACUCUGUAUUGCUAUGAAGAAGCUCAAGACCAGCCUGUAUCACUCGGGGUCCUGGCAGGAACCAGGUGCCACACUCAAACUGAGUAAUUGAAGAGGGUUUAAUAUGGGAGUUAUUUACAUAGGUGUGGGCUGGUGUAGCUGCCCAUAUGCCCUCAAAAUCACCUCUACAUGGCAAUAGCUACUUACUGCUAACAGAGUCUCUCUCUCAUUGCUGCAAAUAUUUUCUAGCCAUGCAAGAAACUCAGCCGGUCAUGUUGAACAAACUAAGAGUGCCAGGAAGUUAAUGUCCUGGAAGCAUUGCCAGAGGGGAGGGGGCAGUUAGAUUCCCCAGCUUCCUCGCUCCUCUGCUGGGUUAAGCCUGCAACAUAUUCAUCAUCUCCCAGAGUGCUGCCCAGGGAUAGAGCUCCAGGUGCUCAGUGUGGUGACCUGCUCAUGUCAGCUUCUUCCCCUUUCCUGUCUUGUUUCGCACCCACAUCCUUCCCAUGUUUCCUCUUCCCAAAUAAACUACUUGCAUUGAAAUCUUUGUCUCAGGCUCUGCUUCUGGGGAAACCUGAACCUAG